AUAAAUGCUUUAUUUUCUACUUCACCUGUUUAUAAAGAAUAAUUUAGCCAAUAAAAACUUUAAUGAAUGGUGGUAAUUAGAAAAGGAAGAAUGUUACUUGAAACGAAACGAAAAAACACUGAUUCCAAGCGAUAAAAAUAACAAAUACUAAAAAAAAUUGGAAAAGAUAUCUUUUUUUUAAAAAAUUUAUUCUUGGUGUCUCAUUUAAAUAUACACAGUUCAGGCACUGACAAAUGGUUUUGUGUACCAAAAAUUAGAGUAUAUAUAUCAAGCGAUGCGUAGUCACUAAAUUUCCGUUGCAGUGAGACAAUUUAAAAGAUUUAACGAAAAUAUUUACUUGCGAAGAACGAAAGUUUUUACACAAGAGAGAUGUAUAAAAACGAAGUUUUGUCGCUCCCAGCAUAAUAUUCGUAUCUUUUGGCGGACUAUUCAAAGUUGAUUAUAUGUCUCCCGUCUAAUUUCAAAUUAAAAGAACACCAAACCAAACCAAAGACAAAAUGGAAUCGAUUUUCCAUCAGAGCCAGCAGAAUUUACAAACUCAUGGACGACUGAUCAAAGAGAUGCAGAAGAUAUACGAAAAU